AUUGAACGCUGGCGGCAGGCCUAACACAUGCAAGUCGAACGGUAACAGGAAGAAGCUUACUUCUUUGCUGACGAGUGGCGGACGGGUGAGUAAUGUCUGGGAAACUGCCUGAUGGAGGGGGAUAACUACUGGAAACGGUAGCUAAUACCGCAUAAUGUCGCAAGACCAAAGAGGGGGACCUUCGGGCCUCUUGCCAUCGGAUGUGCCCAGAUGGGAUUAGCUAGUAGGUGGGGUAACGGCUCACCUAGGCGACGAUCCCUAGCUGGUCUGAGAGGAUGACCAGCCACACUGGAACUGAGACACGGUCCAGACUCCUACGGGAGGCAGCAGUGGGGAAUAUUGCACAAUGGGCGCAAGCCUGAUGCAGCUAUGCCGCGUGUAUGAAGAAGGCCUUCGGGUUGUAAAGUACUUUCAGCGGGGAGGAAGGGAGUAAAGUUAAUACCUCUGCUCAUUGACGUUACCCGCAGAAGAAGCACCGGCUAACUCCGUG
rnacentral:rRNA from 1 species